CAACAUACGUUGUUAUUUGUCCAAUGGCGGAGACAUGACAGGAAUCGUCUGUAAAAGCGGCAACACCCACUGUUCAAAGGUUGAUAUAAAUGGAUAUAUUAUGAGGAACUGUGCCACUACUGGUAGCUGUAAACAACUGGAGAAACAUUAUCAGAACGUUCUUUGCUGUGAUACUGACCUGUGCAAUCUAUGAACCCUCCAGCAGGGGGCAGCGGCACCCGUUCUGCCAUCUCUUCUCUGAUAAACGGCUUUGCUCUGAAUAAAUACAAAUGGAGAGUUCAGACCAGCAUUUAUGAAAUGAUUUAAUGAAUAAAAGCAUGCAGAUAUGUGA